GCCCUCGUAGCUCAGGGGAUAGAGCGUCUGCCUCCGGAGCAGAAGGCCGCAGGUUCGAUUCCUGCCGGGGGCA
rnacentral:tRNA from 1 species